rnacentral:rRNA from 1 species
UUUUUUUACCCCGGGGAANAUGGAAUAGGACGUCGCGGUUCUAUUUUGUUGGUUUCUAGGACCGCCGUAAUGAUUUAUAGGGACAGUCGGGGGCAUCAGUAUUCAAUCGUCAGAGGUGAAAUUCUUGGAUCGAUUGAAGACUAACUACUGCGAAAGCAUUUGCCAAGGAUGUUUUCAUUAAUCAGGAACGAAAGUUAGGGGAUCGAAAACGAUCAGAUACCGUUGUAGUNUUAACCAUAAACUAUGCCGACUAGGGAUCGGGCGGUGUUAUUUCUUGACCCGCUAGGCACCUUACACGAAAGUAAAGUUUUUGGGUUCUGGGGGGAGUAUGGUCGCAAGGNUGAAACUUAAAGAAAUUGACGGAAGGGCACCNCAAGGGGUGGACCGUGUGGCUUAAUUUGACUCAACACGGGGAAACUCACCAGGUCCAGACCCAAGUGGGCAUGCUCGCCCCAGAGCUCAAAAACUUUUUGUGGGUGGUGGGGCAUGGCCGUUUCAAGAAAUAGGACCGAUUGGUCUGUUUAAUUGCGAUAACGAACGAGACCUUAACCUGCUAAAUAGCCCGUUCCGCUUCGGCGGCACUCCGGCUUGUUAGAGGGAAACUCCGCUCAAGCCGAUGGAAGUUUGAGGCAAUAACAGGUCUGUGAUGCCCUUAGAUGUUCUGGGCCGCACGCGCGNUACACUGACAGANCCAGCGAGUUCCUCCUGACCGGAAGUCCUACGGCAUUCAAGUUNUUGUNUU